rnacentral:rRNA from 1 species
GAUGAACGCUGGCGGCGUGCCUAAUACAUGCAAGUCGAGCGAACGGACGAGAAGCUUGCUUCUCUGAUGUUAGCGGCGGACGGGUGAGUAACACGUGGAUAACCUACCUAUAAGACUGGGAUAACUUCGGGAAACCGGAGCUAAUACCGGAUAAUAUUUUGAACCGCAUGGUUCAAAAGUGAAAGACGGUCUUGCUGUCACUUAUAGAUGGAUCCGCGCUGCAUUAGCUAGUUGGUAAGGUAACGGCUUACCAAGGCAACGAUGCAUAGCCGACCUGAGAGGGUGAUCGGCCACACUGGAACUGAGACACGGUCCAGACUCCUACGGGAGGCAGCAGUAGGGAAUCUUCCGCAAUGGGCGAAAGCCUGACGGAGCAACGCCGCGUGAGUGAUGAAGGUCUUCGGAUCGUAAAACUCUGUUAUUAGGGAAGAACAUAUGUGUAAGUAACUGUGCACAUCUUGACGGUACCUAAUCAGAAAGCCACGGCUAACUACGUGCCAGCAGCCGCGGUAAUACGUAGGUGGCAAGCGUUAUCCGGAAUUAUUGGGCGUAAAGCGCGCGUAGGCGGUUUUUUAAGUCUGAUGUGAAAGCCCACGGCUCAACCGUGGAGGGUCAUUGGAAACUGGAAAACUUGAGUGCAGAAGAGGAAAGUGGAAUUCCAUGUGUAGCGGUGAAAUGCGCAGAGAUAUGGAGGAACACCAGUGGCGAAGGCGACUUUCUGGUCUGUAACUGACGCUGAUGUGCGAAAGCGUGGGGAUCAAACAGGAUUAGAUACCCUGGUAGUCCACGCCGUAAACGAUGAGUGCUAAGUGUUAGGGGGUUUCCGCCCCUUAGUGCUGCAGCUAACGCAUUAAGCACUCCGCCUGGGGAGUACGACCGCAAGGUUGAAACUCAAAGGAAUUGACGGGGACCCGCACAAGCGGUGGAGCAUGUGGUUUAAUUCGAAGCAACGCGGAGAACCUUACCAAAUCUUGACAUCCUUUGACAACUCUAGAGAUAGAGCCUUCCCCUUCGGGGGACAAAGUGACAGGUGGUGCAUGGUUGUCGUCAGCUCGUGUCGUGAGAUGUUGGGUUAAGUCCCGCAACGAGCGCAACCCUUAAGCUUAGUUGCCAUCAUUAAGUUGGGCACUCUAAGUUGACUGCCGGUGACAAACCGGAGGAAGGUGGGGAUGACGUCAAAUCAUCAUGCCCCUUAUGAUUUGGGCUACACACGUGCUACAAUGGACAAUACAAAGGGCAGCGAAACCGCGAGGUCAAGCAAAUCCCAUAAAGUUGUUCUCAGUUCGGAUUGUAGUCUGCAACUCGACUACAUGAAGCUGGAAUCGCUAGUAAUCGUAGAUCAGCAUGCUACGGUGAAUACGUUCCCGGGUCU